CGCAGAGCUGGUGGGAUCGCGCCAUGGCCUGGGUCCCUCUCCUCCUUGCAGUGCUCGCCCACGGCUCAGGUUCCCUGGUCCAGGCAGUGCUGACUCAGCCGGCCUCACUGUCCGUGUCCCUGGGACAAACUGCCCGGAUCACCUGCUCUGGGGCUAGCAGCAGCUACUUUGGCAACAGCUGGUAUGGCUGGCACCAGCAGAAACCUGGCAGUGCCCCGGUCACUGUGAUAUAUGAAAGCACCAAGAGACCCUCGAACAUCCCUGCGCGAUUCUCCGCUUCCACCUCUGGCUCCACGGGCACGUUGACCAUCGCUGGGGUGCAAGCUGAGGACGAGGCAGUGUAUUACUGUGGUGGCUGGGUUGACAGUGCUGAUCAGACUCACG